UAAUGCUAAUGUACAACUAGCAUCCGCCAGGGAACUACGAGCACCAGCUUAAAACCCAAAGGACUUGGCGGUGCCUCAGACCCCCCUAGAGGAGCCUGUUCCAGAACCGAUAACCCCCGUCCGACCUCACCACUCCUUGUCCUUUCCGCCUAUAUACCACCGUCGCCAGCUUACCCUGUGAAGGAAAAGUAAGCGAAAUGGAGACUCUCCAAAACGUCAGGUCGAGGUGUAGCACACGGAGUGGGAAGAAAUGGGCUACAUUGCCUGACUUAGGCUACCAACGGAAAGUCGCCUGAAAAGACUAUUUGAAGGUGGAUUUAGCAGUAAGAGGGGAAUAGA
rnacentral:rRNA from 1 species